CGUAGCACAAUGGUUAGUGCACUGGGCUGUAGACCCUGGGAUGGGGGUUCGAUUCCCUCCG
rnacentral:tRNA from 1 species